UACGUAGGGUGCAAGCGUUGUCCGGAAUUAUUGGGCGUAAAGAGCUCGUAGGCGGUUUGUCGCGUCUGCUGUGAAAACUCGGGGCUCAACUCCGAGCUUGCAGUCGAUACGGGCAGGCUAGAGUUCGGCAGGGGAGACUGGAAUUCCUGGUGUAGCGGUGAAAUGCGCAGAUAUCAGGAGGAACACCGGUGGCGAAGGCGGGUCUCUGGGCCGAUACUGACACUGAGGAGCGAAAGCGUGGGGAGCGAACAGGA
rnacentral:rRNA from 1 species